GGGCAGUUAGCUCAGUGGGAGAGCGCCACCUUGACACGGUGGAGGUCGGAGGUUCGAUCCCUCUACUGCCCA
rnacentral:tRNA from 1 species